rnacentral:tmRNA from 1 species
GGGGAUGCAAUGGUUUCGACGGUUAUCAAGAAGUAAAAAUAGCGAGUGAUGGAUUCUCGUAGGCCAUCUAAAAAACGAGAAAAAAAAUAAUUAACAGAAAUAAUUUAGUUUUAGCUGCCUAAGUGCGGCUUCGUUCGAUCUAGCGUGCCACUUGGCUAGACUCGGGCGUCAAUAAAGUGGAAACAAAGCUAUCAAAACUUUGAGAUAGUGGGUAUUUAUAAAGUUACCAAUUUUAAAAGUCUGUUUAUCGACGUUUAAAUGCGGGAACCCUAAAAGAUAAACUGCACUCGGAGAAUUUUUUAUGGAAUGAUAUUCGGACACGAGUUCGAUUCUCGUCAUCUCCACCA